AUGGUGCAUUUUUCCAGGUUGGAAAAGAACAAAAUCGGAAACCCUUUUCCGUUUUUUCCUUCCAUCUUUUCUCUCCCAGUGUUUUCCCUUUCUCCCUGUCUCUGUCACAUUUCCUUUCGUGAGCUCUUUGGACUUUUUUUUUUUUUCUCUCCUCUCUGUCUUCUAGCUUCAUAUUCAAUUUCUUCCACACAUGAUGUGAAAAAUGAUCAGGUGGAGGACAGAAAUGUAGAAACCUCAAAGGUUGGGGGUGUGGAGGAGGAGUGGGAAGGGGGGGAGGAGGAAACCCAUGCUGAAUUGCUAGUGGUUUGUUUGCACUUCAGAGGGAAUUUAUUCCAAGUGCUGGACUCUACAGAGGCAAUGGUUCCAAUGCUGCUUUGCCCACUAUAAACAUAUUUGUUAUAUUUCUGCAUCCCUUUGCUUGUGGGGGGCAGAAUCUGAGAGAGAGAAAAGAAUGACAACUUCUGAGAGAUAAGCAUUACUCACCAUCCUUGAACUGAGCCAUCAUCCUGGCUGAGAGAAAACACACAAUCAUGCAUGUAUUUCUAAACAAGAUUUCUUAGCAUCAUAAGGGAAAUGCAGGUAAUAUCUUAGUUUGCCAGUAUUUGUGUCUAAAAGCUACCUAAGUAACGUCCAUUUCCAAAGAAAUGCAAUUGCUCAAGUUAAUGAAUGCCGCCUGAAAACCUCACUACAGUUUCAGGGUUGUAACGUGAUACGUCGGGACAUGAGGAUUUUGUAGUUCUUGCACUAGGCUCUCAGAAAUGAUGUAGGGUUAUCUUAGAAAACAGCCACUGACGCCGGAAAUAUAUUGUCAAUCACGUUUAUUUGAUUGACGGAAAAGUGUAUGUGUAAGAGAAAUGUGUUGGAGUAAUUAUUAAAUGAAUUAAAAUAAAAAAGAAAGGAGAGUAAUCAUUGUUGUUUAAAAGGAAAAAUCCCACAUUGUCAUGCAAAACUAUUACCAAUAUCCCUUGAGAAUAGGGUCAAGCAAAGCGGACUGGCUCGUUUCAAGAGUACGCUUGACAUCAGUGUACACAGUGUUUACCCAGUCAACAAAGAAGGAACUCAUCUCAUGCAACAGCUUUGGAGUCUGAAUGCUUCCCCUAAAAGCCAGAACGCGAUCAUCUGUAAAGCAAGAGGCACUCCACCUCAGAGCACUUGGAGAACCCAAGGGAAAGGAAGCCUUCUCUCGAAUGGCAAUGACCACACUCACCUUAAGCGAAUCUUCAUCAUCUCACCAACCUUAUCAUGAAAUUAGGGUAAUCACCAGGGAGGUAGAACACCACCUGGGUGUAUAGCAAGGAAGAGACUGGAAGGAAUAACAAACAGCCAGAGAGAUGGUGGGAAGGGAAUGUGAUGUGGGAGGACCUCAGGACGUCAAAGAGAAGAUAGGGUAACGUGAAACCCACAAGAAGCGAAAGGGCGGACAGGAGCAGGGAGGAGGGAAUGUUGAGAAACGGUGGGAAAAGAUGUUUUAAAGAACUACAUCUGUUAAAAAAUGUCAAAAAAUUUACCCAUUUCUUUCUGGACUUGAUCUGGAAAAUAUAAUGGAAAACUCAUGAAAGAAUCAAGGAAAACCAAUACAGAAAAUUAAAAUAAAAUUAAAACUUCCACUUCAGAGUAAAUACGUAAGAUGAAUGUAAUCAGAAAUCAAACAAAUAAAAGGUACCCCCCCGCCCCGAAACAUGCCAAGGAAAUACAUGAGAUGAGAAAGCAAGGAGAAAAAGCAUCCAUUUGUGCAAACAAUGUAUAGCAGACAUCCUAUGAAACCUGCUACAGACAGUUAAGAAAUGUUCCUCAAUACUAUCCAUUUGAAAACAGAAUCAUAAUUGGAACAUUUCCUUAGAGGCAAAGACUUAUGUUGUUAACGACUCUACCAGUGUGGUAGAAAACAAACAAAACACCACCACCACCCAAAGAACCCUUUGGCUCUCUCUGCUGGGCGGCUAACAGAACUGGGGAGUGCUUUCUGAGCUUAGGCCACGUCUCAAAGGGACCAAUGUUUUUAGAAAUGGAAGCACAGAUGUUCACAGGACAUGGUGUGAAUCGGUGGCAGUGUUGUCUUACCUCCCCCACCCCCUCACCGCUUGAGGCAAAGCCACAAAGACAGAAAAUGAUGGUGCGAGGGAAAGUAGAAUAGGACUUCUUCUGGGAUAAACAGUAGCAAUCAUUUGUCUCUCACUUGGCCUUCUCCUUUUUCCAGAAUACAGUGUAAAUAUGGACACAUACGGGAGUCCCGUACUUAUGAGGUCGUGAGGAAGUCCAUAGUAAGAGCAUCCAUCUAGCCAAAACCCUGUCCGUAGCCGUGUUAUCUUAGUUUAUAUCAGUGUUUCAUUAAAAACACCGAGGAGUAUCCUAGGGCGAUAGCCUCUCAUGACAGUCAUAGAAAAUUGCAGGUUGGAGAACUGGAGUAUAAAUUAAUUUUCCCUAGUGUACACAGUGCGUCUACAAACACUUAAAGCUUGUCUCAAUGUGAUAAAUUAAGAACUAUGUCAAUAUCACGCAAGAAGAAGACAGAGGAAGUGCUCUGACAUAAAAGAAAAGAAAUCCGUGAAAUGGUGUGUAAAAUCUCUGUGCACCUGCGAAAAGACUGCAGGAAACGACCGGGAGCAUUGGAAGUAAGAGCCCAAAGCCCACCUGGAUCAAUGGAUUAGAACUGAGUCUACACACUCUUUAGAAGACAAGCUUUGGGAAAACAUCACUCAGCAAAUUUGCAGCCUUGUUUUAUUUCAUAAGCUUUGGGGAGGCAUCAAUGGCAUGAGGAUGGCCCCUUGAACUUUGCUGUAUGACAGAGAGUCUAAGUUAUUGGAAGUGUUCCAGAAGCUAAACGUGGAACAGAAGCCACAUGUCCAUCAGUCUCUCCCCUUCUUCUCACAAAAUCAAAACGGACCUGCCAAGACUCUGGAAGCCAGAGUAAGACCAUGUUUACAGGAAGGACCCUGUGAAAUGAAGUGGGAAGCACUGAGAAGGAAUCAGGUCUCGGGUAAAAGAAACGGAGAGAACUUAGGAUGGGAGGCGUCCAUAAACAGAAACCUUGAGGGAGGAGAGGGAAGACAUGGAGAUGACAUGUGAGCCAAAAGAUGGCAUAUAGGGAAGAAGAGAGGGGAUGCCGAAAGAACCAAAAACCUGAAUGUUUAAUACAGGCUGUGGACACAAAGAGGUCAUCAGAGAUACUUACUGAGUUUCUUUUGAAGAUCAUCUGAAAAAAUAAAGGGGAAACACCCAGAUAAUUAUAAUGGAUUCAAACCACAAGGGAAAUUGAAAUUUAGAGACAAGUUCUCCUACAACUUUAAAUGCAUCAGGAUUUAGGCAAACCCGCACACAUACAGAGGCACACACCUAUGUACCAGCGUGCCUGAGAGCUGCUUUUGUCCUGAGAUUACCGGUCCAAAAUUAAAGCCAAAAAAAAAAAUGAUGUUACGGUCUGGUGGAAAAAUUUCAGGAUCAUUAGUGAUGGUGGUUACCUUUGUACAAAGCUCUUAAAUUAUCUGGACAACGCUCGGGACCUUACUCUUUGGUUGGAUACCUUUAAGGCAUUCUUUGUCACUGCCAAAUACAAAUCACCACUUCUCUUCCUUGUCGUAACUUUGUUUAAUAAGGUAUCCAUGAACAAUGGACUAGAGGAUACUCAAGAGGUGCUGCUAGAGAAGAUGCAGGGUUUGGCUCUUGGGAACCUGUCUGUGUUCACAUUUCACUCUGCAAAGAUUACAUAACUUUUGGGGGGUGGAUUUCUAUUUUCACUCAUGGCAAAAUAAAGCUCCUCUUAUUUCGGUCCCCUUUUCAGUCUAACAUGGAGAUACACACUCGCACAAGGCAGAGUUACUUGAAAAGAGAGGAGGAAGCAGAGAGGAAAAAACUUCCAUUGGUUGCAAGCAAGGCCUGUAGCAGGGGCUACAUGAAGCCAGCUACAUGCAUUGAGAGGUGAAUUUGAUUCCCUCUGAAAACGAAAGGACACUGACAAAAAUGUCAUUAGAAAAACAGGGUAUUAAACUUCUAAGGACUACGUUUGCGUUUUAUGAAAAGCCUUCUGGGAACAUUGUAGGACAGUAGUUCCUUGUGUCAUUCGCAUGAAAACUUAGAAAUCAAAAAUGUAUUAUGAUUAUUAUUGGUCUUUCCUUAAGCUAUGAAAUCCUUCUACAAAUAUUUGAAGUAUUUGGAGUUUGCAAAAUUGACAGCUGUGUCAAUGAAGUAAAAAGGAAAGAAUGAAAAUUACUCUCAUUGGUUCUAAAUAAAAAAUUCCUAGGUAAAACAAUGGGAAGUCUUCGAAUACCUGGGGACACUUGGGUCAUGUGCUCAGAGGCAGUGCAGGGAUGCCCCUUGAGUUUACACUUGACCCACAGACUAUGUUGGAACAUACAGGCUUUGCAAGAGCAGAGAAGGGAGGAAUAUGGGAGAGUCCCUAACUGCAAUAUUGUGCCAGAAUAGCAGAGAUCUGGGAGAGGGCAAGCCAGUGGUGACACGUUGGUUAAAAGCUGGGAUAUCUCUACAACACCACAAACGCAGGUGUUCUACAGUGUUUGGGGGGUGAGGGGGUAUAAAAGAGGCUUUACCAUAUUUUUCCUGAGGUCCUUCGUAAAACAAAACGAAAAGGCGAUGUAAAUUUCGUUGGAAAGAAACACAAAUGAAAUUCAGAUUGAUUGAAACAUUUUUUAGUGAAAUUACAUUAUCCAGAUGCAAGAAAAAACAGAACACAGACACACUGACAGAAAUAAACACAUGCAUGCACACAUACAGUGUCUGAAAGCUCCCUUUUGAGAAAUGGAUCAUAUUCCAUAAGU
rnacentral:lncRNA from 9 species